CUCUACAGCUCUACAACUCUACAACUCUACAGCUCUACGACUCUACAGCUCUACAACUCUACAACUCUAAAGCUCUACAACUCUACAGCUCUACAGCUCUACAACUCUACAACUCUACAGCUCUACAACUCUACAGCUCUACAACUCUACAGCUCUACAACGCUACAGCUCUACAGCUCUACAACUCUACAGCUCUACAACUCUACAACUCUACAACUCUACAGCUCUACAGCUCUACAACGCUACAUCUCUAC
rnacentral:lncRNA from 1 species